ACGGUUGUAGCCCAGGUAAGAUGCGUGUAGCCCAGGUAGGUAAGACGGUUGUAGCCCAGGUAGGUAAGACGGUUGUAGCCCAGGUAGGUAAGACGGUUGUAGCCCAGGUAGGUAAGACGGUUGUAGCCCAGGUAGGUAAGACGGUUGUAGCCCAGGUAAGACGGUUGUAGCCCAGGGAGGUAAGACAGUUGUAGCCCAGGUAGGUAAGACGGUUGUAGCCCAGGUAGGUAAGACGGUUGUAGCCCAGGUAGGUAAGACGGUUGUAGCCCAGGUAGGUAAGACGGUUGUAGCCCAGGUAGGUAAGACGGUUGUAGCCCAGGUAGGUAAGACGGUUGUAGCCCAGGUAGGUAAGACGGUUGUAGCCCAGGUAGGUAAGACGGUUGUAGCCCAGGUAGGUAAGACGGUUGUAGCCCAGGUAGGUAAGACGGUUGUAGCCCAGGUAGGUAAGACGGUUGUAGCCCAGGUAGGUAAGACGGUUGUAGCCCAGGUAGGUAAGACGGUUGUAGCCCAGGUAGGUAAGACGGUUGUAUCCCAGGUAGGUAAGACGGUUGUAGCCCAGGUAGGUAAGACGGUUGUAGCCCAGGUAGGUAAGACGGUUGUAGCCCAGGUAGGUAAGACGGUUGUAGCCCAGGUAGGUAAGACGGUUGUAGCCCAGGUAGGUAAGACGUUU